GGAAUCUUCGGCAAUGGGGGCAACCCUGACCGAGCAACGCCGCGUGAGUGAAGAAGGUUUUCGGAUCGUAAAGCUCUGUUGUAAGAGAAGAACGUGUGUGAGAGUGGAAAGUUCACACAGUGGCGGUAACUUACCAGAAAGGGACGGCUAACUACGUGCCAG
rnacentral:rRNA from 1 species